AUGUAUGUGUGCACACACAUGCUGGAUCACUUCUGCAAAUCUGCCUACAGUCUGCAAGGUUUAAAAAAGAAAGCCACACCCACUAUUGCAAGAGUUGCAAUAAAAUCAGGCCUGUUGGUGCCAAUGAGUUAUAAGUGCUCACAGCAGCCAGGAUUUGGGAUUCCUCCAUGUGUUGUUCCCUUGGAGGCAAGUGCACUGUUAUCAGGUGAUGCAGGAGAGGAGGCUCUGACACUCAGCCCUCCAAUUCAUACACUGGAACAAAGCAGCCAUUUGAUGGUAUCUGCAUUGCUGACUCAACCACGGAUUUCUGUUCUGAUCUUGUCCUUGGAAAAGGGAUAUGGGGGGAGAGAGCUCUUCAAAGCUGCACACAGCGGGCAACACGGCCUCACUUUGCUGUUUUGCCUCAAGGCAUCAGCAGUAAAACCAGACAGAUUACAGAUAACAGAAGGGCGGCCCUGCCUCCAUCCCGCGUCCACCAAGCUGAGGUUUUCAGCCCAGCACAAAGUUGGCAAAGCAACUUUAAUAAAACAUCCCAGCUGCCCCAGUUGCCUCCUGCCAUGUCUGUACCACUCCGGCUGUGAUGGACAAAGCUCCACCACUUUGGCCACAGGGGGUGUGAGACCAUCUGAACUUAAUAUGGGGCUAUUUAGCAAGGAAAAGCUCUACAGCCGUACACAUACAUCUUUAUCUCCACGGUGGAACCUAGGCUGGAUUCACAGAAUCACUAGGGUUGGAAAAGACCAAUAUAAUCAUCUUGUCCAACCAUCAACCCAAUGUUUGGCUGCAGGCCCAUCAUGUCAAUCCAUUCGUUGUGCUGGCAGGGAUGAUAUCAGAGAGGUUUGGCUGUACCUCAUGUCCUGGAUGAUAUUUUGCUGGUUAUGGGGGCAAAUAAGACCUCAGGAACGGCCAAUCUGGAGCAGAAUGAAACUCCUUCUUCUGCCUGUAGCCCUCCCUAUGAGAUUCCCUUGGACCACACAGUCAACCUGCACCUUGUCCAUGUGGGCUCUGGAGGCCUUUGGAAUAAGCCAGGACAACGGCAGUGAAGAGGCAGCAACAGCAUCACCAAAACCAAGGUCCAAAAACCGAGGCCCAGAGGAGCCAGCAGGUUCACAGCAACAAGAACAAACCUGGGGCUGGAGGCCUCAACACCUGGUGCCAGGCUGA
rnacentral:lncRNA from 1 species